rnacentral:misc_RNA from 1 species
GAGCAUAUAUAUAUAUAUAUAUGUUCCCAACUUAUAACUGCAAUGAAUAGCAAAGAGUUGGAUCCAAUUUGGCAUGAAUUUGUUGCCUUCUGUAUCACAAGCAAUAUUGUUUCCAAUAUCAAUCUAACAAGCAAUCAGAACUGAGAACUUUCAAUGGAUCUAAGCAGAAUAGAGAGCAAGAUUUUAGGGCAACCUCUUCUACUUAUUAUAAGUAGUAUGAGAAACCUUGCGAACAUACACAAUGAAACAGAAGAUAUAUCCCUAUAAGAUGAACCAUGUGAUGAUAUCUUUAAUCUUGAGAAAUUCCUGCUUCCUGAAGAAAGUAUGUAAUGCUUCUUUUAGGCAUUUGUAACAAUGCGCAGAAUAUUUGUAGACUAAAGAGGUUGAUUAAUCAAUUGGAUGCGAGUCUUUGCUUCUUAACAUUGAAAACUUCUACAACAGGUUCUGAAGGAACCUAAAAAUGGUUCAUUAUAUAAGGAAUAGCUUUCUCUGAAAGCUUAGCAGAAUUAGUACAUGGGCAAUAAGCGUCAACGAAAUAUUACCAAAUACCAACUUCAAAUAAAGAGAAAAUUAUACCCACCAAUGUCUAGGCUUUGUAAUUCAAAUGGCAUUUAGAUUGGGAAUUCAUGCAAAAGCAAUUUUUUCCAUCUAAUUUUACAUAAAUAAUACUUCUGUACAUACCCUCUUUUGAUAAUAUCAAAGCAUUACCAUGCAAAGAAGACAACAAGUGAUCAAGAUAAACUACAAUGGCACCUGCAGUUUUUUUCUUUUUUAAUUUUUUUUUAUCAUAAUAUAAGCCACCUAUUUCAAUUCUUCCAAAGAAAGAAAAUCAUGAAAGCCAAAUAAAAGCCACAGUCAUGCACAAAUCUUUUUAACAUAUGAAUGUAUUAUGUCAUCAAAUUAUAAACAACUGCUUAUGGACUAAUAAUUGAAAACUCAGUUCCAAAGGCACAUACUUGCAAACAGAGAGAAACUGGAACUUCAAACAUCAUGGAUUCAACUGCCAUUAUGUCCUAGCAUAAUUCUUUCUAACUAUGUGAUUAGAACAUCAAGGUGAGAUAUGAGAAUUGGGGUCCAAAUUCUACAUGUGCAACUGUCUGAAAAUUGCAAAAAUGCUAUAUAGCCUUAAAAGUUCUAAAUUACCAGAUUGACUAAAAAAUAAUAAAAUACUAAUGAAGCCAGAAAAAUAGAAUGCCUAUUCAAUAUGAUGGAAAGGAAGGACAUUUUUUGACUAUUUAUUCGUCCACAUGUUGGCCACACUUCAAUGCAAAGAAAUUUAAAAUCACACGAUACUAGUAUCGGAAGAUUCAUGCAUGCAUUACCUUUUUCAGUUCAACUUUUGGCGGAGGCUCUUUGUAGAAACAUGGCAUGGGUGUAGCCUUAAAAGCCAAGCUCUUUCUUAGUUGUCUGAUCUCUGCUUCCUGGUUCUCC